rnacentral:miRNA from 1 species
UGUCCAGUAGCACCUUAGAGACCAACUAAGUGUGUUCUGGGUAUAAGCUUUCAUGUGCAUGCACACUUCUUCAGAUACAAGUGUGCAUGCACACGAAAGCUUCUACCCAGAACAAACUUAGUUGGUCUCUAAGGUGCUACUGGACA